rnacentral:rRNA from 1 species
AUUGAGUUUGAUCCUGGCUCAGGACGAACGCUGGCGGCGUGCUUAACACAUGCAAGUCGAACGAUGAUCUCCAGCUUGCUGGGGGGAUUAGUGGCGAACGGGUGAGUAACACGUGAGUAACCUGCCCUGGACUCUGGGAUAACCCCGAGAAAUCGGAGCUAAUACCGGAUAGGACCUUGGACCGCAUGGUUUGGGGUGGAAAGUUUUUUCGGUUUGGGAUGGACUCGCGGCCUAUCAGCUUGUUGGUGAGGUAAUGGCUCACCAAGGCGUCGACGGGUAGCCGGCCUGAGAGGGUGACCGGCCACACUGGGACUGAGACACGGCCCAGACUCCUACGGGAGGCAGCAGUGGGGAAUAUUGCACAAUGGGCGCAAGCCUGAUGCAGCAACGCCGCGUGCGGGAUGACGGCCUUCGGGUUGUAAACCGCUUUUAGUGGGGAAGAAGGGGCUCCUUCGGGGGUUUUGACGGUACUUGCAGAAAAAGGACCGGCUAACUACGUGCCAGCAGCCGCGGUAAAAUC